UGAGGCCAAGGCAUCUAACACGGUCACACUGACAAGUAAGUCAUACCUUUGAAUGGUGAAACCGCGAAUGGCUCAUUAAAUCAGUUAUAAUUUCAUGGGAUAUGUUUUGUUAAUUAGAUAACUGUGGUAAUUCUAGAGCUAAUACAUGCAUAUACGUUCAACUUCGGUUGGAUGUGCUCUUAUUAGUGCAAACCAUGUCGUAAGACCGGUGGUGGUGACUCUGAAUAACUGACCGAUAGGUGGUGACUCUGAAUAACUUUGCCGAGCAUUUCGGCCUUGUGUCGGUGCUAUUCCUUCAAAGUAUCUGCUCUAUCAACUGUCGAUGGUACAUUAUAUGUUUACCAUGGUUGUAACGGGUAACGGGGAAUUAGGGUUCGAUUCCGGAUAGGGAGCCUGAGAAACGGCUACCACAUCUAAGGAAGGCAGCAGGCGCGCAAAUUACCCAAUCCCGGCUCGGGGAGAUAGUGACAAAAAAUAACAAUGCGGGUCUUAAAUGAGGCUUCGUAAUUGGAAUGAGUACAUUCUAAAUCCUUUAACGAGGAACUAUUGGAGGGCAAGUCUGGUGCCAGCAGCCGCGGUAAUUCCAGCUCCAAUAGCGUAUAUUAAAAUAAUUGCGUCUAAAAAGCUCGUAGUUUGAAAACUUGCCUUGACUUGCAAUAGGUCCACAUGGGCCACCGUUUGUCGAGCGCAAAUAUGGAUGACUGUUUUUGCCGACUUAAUUGUUUGGCUUAUAAGAGUUAUCAAAUAUCACUUUGAUUAAAUUAGAGUGCUUAAAGCAAGUGUAUUACUUGAAUAUAAAUGCAUGGAAUGAUGGAAUAUGUUAUUGUUCUAUUUGUUGGUUUUGGAACGAUAAAAUUAUUGAAAGGAACUGAUGGGGGACAUUCGUAUUGUUGUGAGAGAGGUGAAAUUCUUAGACCACAGCAAGACGAACUACUGCGAAAGCAUUUGCCAAGAAUGUUUUCAUUGAUCAAGAACGAAAGUUAGAGGUUCGAAGGCGAUCAGAUACCGCCCUAGUUUUAACCAUAAACUAUGCCAACUAGCAAUUUGCUCACGUAUGUUUUACGACUAAGUGAGAGGCCACGGGAAACCAAAAAGUAGGGUUAUGGGGGAAGUAUGGUUGCGAAGCUGAAACUUAAAGGAAUUGACGGAAGGGCACCACCAGAAGUGGAGCCUGCGGCUUAAUUUGACUCAACACGGGAAAACUUACCUGGUCCUGACACUAGAAGGAUUGACAGAUUGAUAGCUCUUUCUUGAUUUAGUGGAUGGUGGUGCAUGGCCGUUCUUAGUUGGUGGAGUGAUUUGUCUGGUUAAUUCCGAUAACGAACGAGACUGUAGCCUAUUAAAUAACACACAGAAUCUCGUCUUCUGUGGCGUUCCUUAAUGGGAUCAAGUGUGUUUAACACUUUGAAACAGAGCAAUAACAGGUCUGUGAUGCCCUUAGUAACUAAGGCUAAGCAUUUGGCGUUCUAGCUGUCAAGAAGUGAAAUACGUUUCCGUUCAGCUUGCAUUGCUUAAAACCCUUGCUACUUUAAGGGGAAUUUAAUGUCCAACGGUAACUGCAACAAUGUAAAACAAUAACUGCAAUAGGCCUGAUU
rnacentral:rRNA from 1 species